GCCGGGAUGGUGGAAUGGUAGACACCGGGGACUUAAAAUCCCCUGGCCGCGAGGCCGUGCCAGUUCGAGUCUGGUUCCCGGCA
rnacentral:tRNA from 1 species